rnacentral:rRNA from 1 species
UACGUAGGGUCCGAGCGUUGUCCGGAAUUACUGGGCGUAAAGAGCUCGUAGGUGGUUUGUCGCGUUGUUCGUGAAAACUCACAGCUCAACUGUGGGCGUGCGGGCGAUACGGGCAGACUGGAGUACUGCAGGGGAGACUGGAAUUCCUGGUGUAGCGGUGAAAUGCGCAGAUAUCAGGAAGAACACCAAUGGCGAAAGCAGCUUUCUGGGACGGUACUGACGCUGAGACGCGAAAGCGUGGGGAGCGAACAGG